UGAAAGCCUCCACGCGGCGCUAUGUCACCCAACUCCCCCAGGGCAGGAAUGCAGCAAGGGUAAGCGGCCUCUGACGGGUGCGUGGAGGUUUUUAUAU
rfam:Bifidobacterium subtile strain LMG 11597 Contig06, whole genome shotgun sequence.